rnacentral:rRNA from 1 species
CCGUAGAAAAAAAAGGAUGAGCUGGCGGCGGCCUACACAUGCAAGUCGAGCGGUAGCGCAGAGAGCUUGGUCUCGGGUGACGAGCGGCGGACGGGUGAGUAAUGUCUGGGAAACUGCCUGAUGGAGGGGGAUAACUACUGGAAACGGUAGCUAAUACCGCAUAACGUCGCAAGACCAAAGUGGGGGACCUUCGGGCCUCAUGCCAUCAAAUGUGCCCAGAUGGGAUUAACUAGUAAGUGGGGUAACGGCUCACCUAGGCGACCAUCCCUACCUGGUCUGAGAGGAUGACCAGCCACACUGGAACUGACACACGGUCCAGACUCCUACGGGAGGCAGCAGUGGGGAAUAUUGCACAAUGGGCGCAAGCCUGAUGCAUCCAUGCCGCGUGUGUGAAGAAGGCCUUCGGGUUGUAAAGCACUUUCAUCGGGGAGGAAGGAGAUAGGGUUAAUAACCUUGUCGAUUGACGUUACCCGCAGAAGAAGCACCGGCUAACUCCGUGCCAGCCCGCCGCGGUAGGU